GAACUUAAGCAUAUCAAUAAGCGGAGGAAAAGAAACCAACAGGGAUUGCCUCAGUAACGGCGAGUGAAGCGGCAACAGCUCAAAUUUGAAAUCUGGCUCUUUCAGGGUCCGAGUUGUAAUUUGUAGAAGAUGCUUUGGGUGUGGCUCCGGUCUAAGUUCCUUGGAACAGGACGUCAUAGAGGGUGAGAAUCCCGUACGUGACUGGUUGCCUCCGCCCGUGUAAAGCUCUUUCGACGAGUCGAGUUGUUUGGGAAUGCAGCUCAAAAUGGGUGGUAAAUUUCAUCUAAAGCUAAAUAUUGGCCAGAGACCGAUAGCGCACAAGUAGAGUGAUCGAAAGAUGAAAAGCACUUUGGAAAGAGAGUUAAACAGUACGUGAAAUUGUUGAAAGGGAAGCGCUUGCAACCAGACUUGCAUGCGGUUGAUCAUCCGAGCUUCUGCCCGGUGCACUCGAUCGUAUUCAGGCCAGCAUCGGUUUUGGUGGGCGGAUAAAGGCCUUGGGAAUGUAGCUUCCUUCGGGGAGUGUUAUAGCCCUCGGUGCAAUGCGCCCUACCGGGACCGAGGACCGCGCUUCGGCUAGGAUGCUGGCGUAAUGGUUGUAAGCGACCCGUCUUGAAACACGGACCAAGGAGUCUAACAUCUAUGCGAGUGUUUGGGUGUUAAACCCAUACGCGUAAUGAAAGUGAACGGAGGUGAGAACCCUUAAGGGUGCAUCAUCGACCGAUCCUGAUGUCUUCGGAUGGAUUUGAGUAAGAGCAUAGCUGUUGGGACCCGAAA
rnacentral:rRNA from 1 species